rnacentral:rRNA from 1 species
AGCGUACACGGUGGAUGCCCUGGCAGUCAGAGGCGAUGAAGGGCGUGCUAAUCUGCGAUAAGCGCCGGUAAGGUGAUAUGAACCGUUAUAACCGGCGAUACCCGAAUGGGGAAACCCAGUGUGAUUCGUCACACUAUCAUUAACUGAAUCCAUAGGUUAAUGAGGCGAACCGGGGGAACUGAAACAUCUAAGUACCCCGAGGAAAAGAAAUCAACCGAGAUUCCCCCAGUAGCGGCGAGCGAACGGGGAGGAGCCCAGAGCCUGAAUCAGCAUGUGUGUUAGUGGAAGCGUCUGGAAAGGCGCGCGAUACAGGGUGACAGCCCCGUACACAAAAGCGCAUGUGCUGUGAGCUCGAUGAGUAGGGCGGGACACGUGGUAUCCUGUCUGAAUAUGGGGGGACCAUCCUCCAAGGCUAAAUACUCCUGACUGACCGAUAGUGAACCAGUACCGUGAGGGAAAGGCGAAAAGAACCCCGGCGAGGGGAGUGAAAAAGAACCUGAAACCGUGUACGUACAAGCAGUGGGAGCACCCUUCGGGGUGUGACUGCGUACCUUUUGUAUAAUGGGUCAGCGACUUAUAUUCUGUAGCAAGGUUAACCGUAUAGGGGAGCCGUAGGGAAACCGAGUCUUAACCGGGCGUUAAGUUGCAGGGUAUAGACCCGAAACCCGGUGAUCUAGCCAUGGGCAGGUUGAAGGUUGGGUAACACUAACUGGAGGACCGAACCGACUAAUGUUGAAAAAUUAGCGGAUGACCUGUGGCUGGGGGUGAAAGGCCAAUCAAACCGGGAGAUAGCUGGUUCUCCCCGAAAGCUAUUUAGGUAGCGCCUCGUGAAUUCAUCUCCGGGGGUAGAGCACUGUUUCGGCUAGGGGGCCAUCCCGGCUUACCAACCCGAUGCAAACUGCGAAUACCGGAGAAUGUUAUCACGGGAGACACACGGCGGGUGCUAACGUCCGUCGUGAAGAGGGAAACAACCCAGACCGCCAGCUAAGGUCCCAAAGUCAUGGUUAAGUGGGAAACGAUGUGGGAAGGCCCAGACAGCCAGGAUGUUGGCUUAGAAGCAGCCAUCAUUUAAAGAAAGCGUAAUAGCUCACUGGUCGAGUCGGCCUGCGCGGAAGAUGUAACGGGGCUAAACCAUGCACCGAAGCUGCGGCAGCGACACUGUGUGUUGUUGGGUAGGGGAGCGUUCUGUAAGCCUGUGAAGGUGGCCUGUGAGGGUUGCUGGAGGUAUCAGAAGUGCGAAUGCUGACAUAAGUAACGAUAAAGCGGGUGAAAAGCCCGCUCGCCGGAAGACCAAGGGUUCCUGUCCAACGUUAAUCGGGGCAGGGUGAGUCGACCCCUAAGGCGAGGCCGAAAGGCGUAGUCGAUGGGAAACGGGUUAAUAUUCCCGUACUUGGUGUUACUGCGAAGGGGGGACGGAGAAGGCUAUGUUGGCCGGGCGACGGUUGUCCCGGUUUAAGCGUGUAGGUGUGUGUUCCAGGUAAAUCCGGUUCACUUUAACACUGAGGCGUGACGACGAGGCACUACGGUGCUGAAGCAACAAAUGCCCUGCUUCCAGGAAAAGCCUCUAAGCAUCAGGUAACAUCAAAUCGUACCCCAAACCGACACAGGUGGUCAGGUAGAGAAUACCAAGGCGCUUGAGAGAACUCGGGUGAAGGAACUAGGCAAAAUGGUGCCGUAACUUCGGGAGAAGGCACGCUGACACGUAGGUGAAGUGAUUUACUCAUGGAGCUGAAGUCAGUCGAAGAUACCAGCUGGCUGCAACUGUUUAUUAAAAACACAGCACUGUGCAAACACGAAAGUGGACGUAUACGGUGUGACGCCUGCCCGGUGCCGGAAGGUUAAUUGAUGGGGUCAGCGCAAGCGAAGCUCCUGAUCGAAGCCCCGGUAAACGGCGGCCGUAACUAUAACGGUCCUAAGGUAGCGAAAUUCCUUGUCGGGUAAGUUCCGACCUGCACGAAUGGCGUAAUGAUGGCCAGGCUGUCUCCACCCGAGACUCAGUGAAAUUGAACUCGCUGUGAAGAUGCAGUGUACCCGCGGCAAGACGGAAAGACCCCGUGAACCUUUACUAUAGCUUGACACUGAACAUUGAGCCUUGAUGUGUAGGAUAGGUGGGAGGCUUUGAAGUGUGGACGCCAGUCUGCAUGGAGCCGACCUUGAAAUACCACCCUUUAAUGUUUGAUGUUCUAACGUGGACCCGUAAUCCGGGUUGCGGACAGUGUCUGGUGGGUAGUUUGACUGGGGCGGUCUCCUCCUAAAGAGUAACGGAGGAGCACGAAGGUUGGCUAAUCCUGGUCGGACAUCAGGAGGUUAGUGCAAUGGCAUAAGCCAGCUUGACUGCGAGCGUGACGGCGCGAGCAGGUGCGAAAGCAGGUCAUAGUGAUCCGGUGGUUCUGAAUGGAAGGGCCAUCGCUCAACGGAUAAAAGGUACUCCGGGGAUAACAGGCUGAUACCGCCCAAGAGUUCAUAUCGACGGCGGUGUUUGGCACCUCGAUGUCGGCUCAUCACAUCCUGGGGCUGAAGUAGGUCCCAAGGGUAUGGCUGUUCGCCAUUUAAAGUGGUACGCGAGCUGGGUUUAGAACGUCGUGAGACAGUUCGGUCCCUAUCUGCCGUGGGCGCUGGAGAACUGAGGGGGGCUGCUCCUAGUACGAGAGGACCGGAGUGGACGCAUCACUGGUGUUCGGGUUGUCAUGCCAAUGGCACUGCCCGGUAGCUAAAUGCGGAAGAGAUAAGUGCUGAAAGCAUCUAAGCACGAAACUUGCCCCGAGAUGAGUUCU